CUUGUGUGUGGGAGCUUUUGAUGUUAUUUUAGUCAAGUCUUUAUUAUUCAUAUAUCCAUAGAGACAAGAAUGUAGCAAAGGGAGGUGGGAGGGAGAUUCAAGAGGGAGGGGACAUUUGUACACCUAUGGCUAAUUCAUGUUGAUGUAUGGCAGAAAUCAAAUCUAUAUUGCACAGAAUUAUGCUUCAGAAAAAAAGAACAUAGCAAGGUGGUCAGGAAAGUAUGAAAAAAAGAUUUCUCAUAUUUAUAAUCACAACUCUUCGUACAUCUGGGAGCAGGCUGCCCACCAUCAUCACACCUUCCCGCCAGCAUCAGACGUUUAUUUACCCCAAGCAUCAGGCCAUAGUCCAGCAUCAGACCCUCCCCAAGCAUCAGGCCCUCCCCAGCAUCAGGCCCUCCUCCAGCAUCAGGCCCUAGUCCAGGAUCAGGACCUCCCCCAGCAUCAGGCCUCAGUCCAGCAUCAGGGCCUCCCCCAGAAUCAGACCCUAGUCCAGCAUCAGAUGUUCCUGCCCCAGCAUCAGGGCCCUCCUCCAGCAUCAGGUCCUCCCCCAGCAUCAGGCCCAUAGUCCAGCAUCAGGCCCUCCUCCAGCAUCAGGCCCAUAGUCCAGCAUCAGGCCCUCCUCCAGCAUCAGGGCCUCCCCCAGCAUCAGGCACAUAGUCCAGCAUCAGGCCCUCCUCCAGCAUCAGGUCCUCCCCCAGCAUCAGGCCCAUAGUCCAGCAUCAGGCCCUCCUCCAGCAUCAGGGCCUCCCCCAGCAUCAGGCCCUCCUCUAGCAUCAGGCCCAUAGUCCAGCAUCAGGGCCCUCCUCCAGCAUCAGGCCCUCCUCCAGCAUCAGGCCCUAGUCCAGCAUCAGGCCCUCCCCCAGCGUCAGGCGUGGCAGCCCCACUUGUCUGACACUCCUGAGCACACUUAGGCAGCCCCAGAGCAGCAGGACAAUAGCUCUUGCAGGAGGUGCAUCUUUAGCAAUCACCUGCGGAGCAGCAGUAGCAGCUGGGGUCUGUUUCAGGCCAAGGAGAGGCAAAGAAGAGGCACUUGUGCCGAGGCAGCGGUGGGUGUGGGCACGUUUCAAAGCUCUGCUUCCUCCCCGAGGGGGCUUUGCUCUCCAGCUCUCUCACGUGGUCACUCGAGGACCCCAGGGCUGUGUCCUUCCAGAUUCACGGUCUCCUUAAUAUCUCAAGCCCAAGUCCUGAGUUGCAUCCCAGUCCGGUGUGGCAGAGGGCUGGGAACACACAAGCUCAAGGGCUGAAAGGAUCCCAGGGGAACAGUCGGGCCCCAGUGGGUGGCAGAGCAGGGGAUGAGGGUGGCCGCCCACAGAGGGCCCCGCAGCAGCACUGGAAGGAGAGCAGGGGUGCCUUAGCUCACUCGGGGACGUUGCCCGGCCUCAGCGCCCAGAUGUUACUGCCAGCAGCUCUGGGGAUGCAGAAAGCCCGGUGAGUGACACCACUCCACUCGGGCCGUGUGAGUGGGCACUGCCUACCAUGGACUAAGUUUUCAUUCCGGUUCCAACUGUCCCUCCAAGGGCUCCUCUUCCGAAUGGCACAUUUUCUUGAUGUGGGUGAACGCAUCCCUGCUUGUUUCUGUCAGCACUGUUGUCGGUCAUCGUGUGUUUUCCUCUUUACAAUCUGUGCUUGCUGCUCUUCCAGUUUAACUUAGGAGCAGCCCUUAUUUUCUGCAUUUCCUAGUUGUCAGCGUUCACUGGGGCUUUCCAGGUGGUUCUAGCGGUAAAGAUCUUGCCUGCC
ensembl:lncRNA